AGUGAACGCUGGCGGUAGGCCUAACACAUGCAAGUCGAACGGCAGCACAGUAAGAGCUUGCUCUUACGGGUGGCGAGUGGCGGACGGGUGAGGAAUACAUCGGAAUCUACUUUUUCGUGGGGGAUCACGUAGGGAAACUUACGCUAAUACCGCAUACGACCUACGGGUGAAAGCAGGGGAUCUUCGGACCUUGCGCGAUUGAAUGAGCCGAUGUCGGAUUAGAUAGUUGGCGGGGUAAAGGCCCACCAAGGCGACGAUCCGUAGCUGGACUGAGAGGAUGGUCAGCCACACUGGAACUGAGACACGGUCCAGACUCCUACGGGAGGCAGCAGUGGGGAAUAGUGGACAAUGGGCGCAAGCCUGAUCCAGUCAUACCGCGUGGGUGAAGAAGGCGUUCGGGUUGUAAAGCCCUUUUGUUGGGAAAGAAAAGCAGCAGGUUAAUACCCCGCUGUUCUGACGGUACCCAAAGAAUAAGCACCGGCUAACUACGUG
rnacentral:rRNA from 1 species